UACGAAGGGGGCUAGCGUUGCUCGGAAUUACUGGGCGUAAAGCGCACGUAGGCGGAUUGUUAAGUCGGGGGUGAAAUCCUGGAGCUCAACUCCAGAACUGCCUUCGAUACUGGCGAUCUAGAGUCCGGGAGAGGUGAGUGGAACUGCGAGUGUAGAGGUGAAAUUCGUAGAUAUUCGGAAGAACACCAGUGGCGAAGGCGGCUCACUGGUCCGGUACUGACGCUGAGGUGCGAAAGCGUGGGGAGCAAACAGG
rnacentral:rRNA from 1 species